rnacentral:misc_RNA from 1 species
AAUAAUUAAGGUCACUACCAGAUACACAUUCCCUCUUUCCUUGGUGGGCAUACAACAGAUACGUUUGUUGAGAAGAAAAAGCCACCCCCUUUCAACCGCAAAAGGAACGGCUGGAGGAAAAUGCCACAACAAAGAAAUUUUAGGGUACAAAAAAUUUCAGUCAUGUAUGCCUAAAUGAUUAUUAACUCUUUCUAAAACUUCCUGCAAUACACCAAUGUCCACUAAAGUAUUUCAAACCAAACCUUCGGUUUGUAACAGUCCAGGAUAAACCAGAGAUAUUAUCUCUUUUAAGGAUUUUACUGAUGCCUUCAAGAAAAUUUGCCCCUCCAUUGCUUUUAACAGCAAUUUGACCUCCUUUGAGAAAUCCUCUACACGCCCUAAUAUUGGUCUUAUUCCACAAAUGUGCAAAACACAUAACUCUAAAUAUAGUGCCAUCUCCAUUAUUUGAAGCAUUAAGAGACAGACUGACUGGAUUUCUGGAUGAACUUGCUUCAUUUUGUUUGCAUUACACAGUUCAGAAACAACUGAAAUUGCUUGAUCCUGCAAGCCAUGUAAUAUCUCAGGCAUUGGAAGCUCAGGAAUAUGAGCAAGAUCAAUAAAUCCCACUUCCUCUGACCUUCU